UCGGGUUGUAAACCGCUUUUAGUGGGGAAGAAAAGAUACGGGAUAACACCUCGUGUUCUUGACGGUACCGGCGGAAUAAGCACCGGCUAACUACGUGCCAGCAGCCGCGGUAAUACGUAGGGUGCGAGCGUUAAUCGGAAUUACUGGGCGUAAAGCGUGCGCAGGCGGUUCGUUAAGUUGGAUGUGAAAGCCCCGGGCUCAACCUGGGAACGGCAUUGGAAACUGGCGAGCUUGAGUGUGGCAGAGGGGGGUGGAAUUCCGCGUGUAGCAGUGAAAUGCGUAGAGAUGGGGAGGAACACCGAUGGAGAAGGCAGCCCCGUGGGCCAACACAGACGGUCAGGCAAGAAAGCGUGGGGAGCAAACAGGAUUAGAUACCCGGGGUAGUCCACGCCCUAAACGAUGCUCAGUAGGUGUUGGGGAAGCGAUUCUU
rnacentral:rRNA from 1 species